UCAUACUCCCAGCACUCGGAGAGAGUCACACUAACAUUUUUUUUGUUUGUUUCCUUCCAAACUUGGCACUGUUUUCUAAUUAUCGCAAUCCACACAAAUUAUCUCCUCAUUCUUUCAUUCAGUCCACAGCUAUAGAGCUGAGUGCUGGUGUGUGUGGUUCAGAUUCUCACUGUGCUGAGAGUACCCAGAAGAACAAGUUCACUGGAGUUCAGAGCAGUUGGAUGUGCGAGACUUUACUUGGGCAACCUGAACGGAGAAAGAGGGAAUAAGGAUGGCUCCCACAGAGCAGAAGGGCCUGCACCAGGAAGAUUCCAGGUGUUAACCCAGCAUCCCAGUCUGAAGACGUCUGCCCUUUAUCCUUCACAGGCAUUCCCUUGAUCCCCUGCAAGUCUGAGCCUGUCCUGGCAUCUGCUUCCCAGAGGAUCCAAAUUUAACACAGAUAACUUCCAUUUUGUAGGAUGAGAUAAUGAAGUCUACAACCAUCCAAACUCACAAUCAUCUGUUGUCAAGGAAAUACAGUUUCACAUUGCAAUGGUAAGGACCAUGGGCUUUGGAUAGACCAGGGUGUGAGUCCUACCCACCAGUGGUAUGACCUUUAGGAAAUGUCUUAGCCUGCCCUAACCCUCUAUUUCUUCAUCCAUGGAAUCAGUGAUUCUUAAGUGGGAGCAAUUUUGUUUCCUCCAGGACAGUUUGCAAUGUCUGGAGACAUUUUUUGGUUGUCACAACUAGGGGGAGGGGAAUGGUUGCAACUGGCACCUAGUUGGGUAGAAGGCCAGGGACACUGCUAAAUAUCCUGCAGUGCACACAGCAGCCCCUCCACGACAAAGAUUAUCCUGCCCAAAAUGUCCAUAGUGUGGAGGUUGGAAAAUUCUGUGUUAAAUGGGGAUGAUACUAGUAAGCUAACUCAAAUAACUAUUGUGAGGACUCAGUGGGAUCAUGUGUUCAAUAUCCCUUGCCUUCCUUGUAAACUCCACAAGGGCAGGAACAAGAUGAUGUAGAUAAAUGUUCUGUAUCAUCAAUGACUGGAACAUAGAAGGUGUAAAGUAAAUUAUUAAUUGUUGAAAUAUU